CCAUGGGCUUGGUCGCCGGCGCUGCUCAGAUGCCGCACCUCCGGCUGAUCCUCCUCGUGGAGCAGGUAUUCCUUUACUUUGCCUGCAUCUCAUGGAGCCCAAGCUCCUUCUCCACUACAUCGACGCCGGUAGCCACCUCCUGGAAACCCCCUUCGGCCAUGUCGUCCCUUCCCAUCGGUGGGUGGUUGGUGGUUCUCCGUCGGGGAAGCUAUCUGGAUGGCCGCCGUAUCCCCUACAAAGCCCGCUGGAAGAUGAUGUUCUGGAAACCAAUCUGAAAUGGAAACGGCCUCUGCCGACACCGUGACCUCCAACUGAGCAGCAGCAGGAGAGGAGCAAGAGGAGGAACUCCCUCCUGUGCAUCUUCUCGGUAGAUGGCAGGCUGUUUGCUCCAUUCCUGUUUUUUCGGUUCGUGCAUCUUCUCUCGGUUGAUGGUUGGUUCUGUCUGGUGCUCUGGUGAUGCACAUAGAGCAAGGAAGGCAAAUUUUCUGCCAUCCGCAUUUUCCCUCCCUUAGAUUCUUCAUUGUGCGAGGUGUGGUAUGUCUCCUGUGUACAUUCUAAUUUUUUUUAACAAGACAUUCUAAUUUCUAAGGUUUGCUACCUGUGGCUGAAAUUGGUAAAUAUAACUGGAUGGUUGUACAGUUGAGGUAAUAAUAUUUGGUAACUACAUUAGUUUUUUUUUACAGGAGAUACACUGCAUGAGCUCUGGGUUAUUUGCAGCCUUUGUCUACAUUCUUUUAUUGGCAGGGGAUCCUUGGUGAUGAUUCAUGUAUUACUCUGAGUAAUAACUGAAACUUCAAGGAAAAUGUCAAUCCAGAGCAUUAUAUUUGCAGGUCGUAGUUACUUAAGCUUAGACCUUUUCUAUG